rnacentral:rRNA from 1 species
AGAUUGAACGCUGGCGGCAUGCCUUACACAUGCAAGUCGAACGGUAGAGUAGCAAUACUUGAGAGUGGCGAACGGGUGAGUAAUAUAUCGGAACGUGCCCAGUCGUGGGGGAUAACGUAGAGAAAUUUACGCUAAUACCGCAUACGAUCUAAGGAUGAAAGCGGGGGACCGUAAGGCCUCGCGCGAUUGGAGCGGCUGAUAUCAGAUUAGGUUGUUGGUGAGGUAAAAGCUCACCAAGCCGACGAUCUGUAGCUGGUUUGAGAGAACGACCAGCCACACUGGGACUGAGACACGGCCCAGACUCCUACGGGAGGCAGCAGUGGGGAAUUUGGACAAUGGGCGAAAGCCUGAUCCAGCAAUGCCGCGUGCAGGGAAGAAGGCCUUCGGGUUGUAAACUGCUUUGUACGAACGAAACGGUCUGCUUUAAUACAGUGGCUAAUGACGGUACCGUAAGAAUAAGCAACCGGCUAACUACGUGCCAGCAGCCGCGGUAAUC